AUGUGCACGUCACGUGACGGCCAUUCCGCGUCCACUCGCGGAGGGGUGUAAACAGGCCCGGUGGUGGCCCAGCCGCGGCCCUGCUGCGCCCGAGUCUGCGGCAUGCUCCGGGCCGGCCGGGGCUGCCGAGCCGCGCGCCCGGCGCCCACCUGAGUAUCACUGAUACACAAUCUUCUAUUGGGUUCAAUAUACAACACAGUGGUUCAGCAGUUACCCAUAUUACUGAAUUCUCACCCCUAGCCUGCCACCUGCUUCUUUUGAAGUCCAUGGCCCAAAAUGACUCUACCACUGGAGACUCUCUUCUGUAAAGAAGACCAGACAGGAGGCUGGGAUGAGCAUGCCACUGCAUCAGAUCUCUGCCAUUCCAUCCCAGGAUGCCUCCUUUGCUAGAGUCUAUAGAAGUAAGACCAAAGAAAAGGAGAGGGAAGAGCAGUGGACGGAGCCACCACCCUGUGAGCACAGUAGCCUGUUUUACCUCAGAUCACCUGAAUUCUGAUGGGAGAGUUAAUUGCUAGCCUGCCUGUCUCGGUUGCCUUCUCUAACAGGGAGGCCAAGUACAUCACAGUGCUGUCUGCUUUGGAGGAGGAUGGAGGCCAUCCAGUAAGUCACGGGAAUGAGGCAUGUGGAGCCUUAAUGAAAACAAAGUACUUAACGGGAAAAGAAGGCAAACUGCACACUUCAGUGAGAAAAACAGGACUGGAAUGAAGGACUUGCCUCCCCAUGGUCUGGCUGGAUUUGGGGCAGUUCUAUGCCGCAGAUGUACCUGGCAAGCUACAAAACGCCCCUGCACGCAGGCAGCACUGUGCGGGUGAGGCCCCGGCUUGGAUUAUCUGUAAAAGCUCACUCUGGUGCGGUUCACGUGCAGCAAGAGUGGACAACAACCUGGACAGAGUGCACUUGCCCUCUGGCUUCUCACGCUGGCUGUGCAUCCUGUCACGGGGCUUGAUGAGGACAGAGACGUGAACCCGCAAGCUACCUACAGGUCACUGUGAUUGAACAAGUGACGAAGUUCAUGGGAUAGAAAGAGAUGGUCCUGGCUGCCUUUCAAAUCCACUCUUCCAAAUUCAGGGUCAGCUGAAUCAUCCGUCAAUCAUACUCCAUUCCUUCCAGGACCAGGGUCCAUGGGGUUUCCGCUCUGGUCCUGCCCCAGAAGGCCCCCUAGCAUCAUCUAGACCCGUGUCCGGCCGCUGACCCCGCUGCCUUGGUCUCCUUGUCUGUGAACUAUGGCACCACUAGGACCUGCCUUGGGGCCUCUCCUGAGCACUGGGGCAGCCCCCUGCUGUUAAUGGAAAAGAACCCAAUAAACAUCAGCUGAUUCUAAUCAUGGACCUUUGCUCGAAAAUGGUCCCAUUCUGCUCACCUCUCAGAAGAAUCCAGAGCACACUGGCUCAUCUUCCCUGUCUCUAUUUUGAGUUUCUCUUCUUUAAGGUGUGUGGAGUCCAUUAGGACUUCUCUUCCAGCCACAUCGCCUCUAGAAUGAGAGUGUCAUCUGGCCUCUGCCAGCCCCUGGGUCAGGAGACCCUGACUGUUUGGAGCCCAGAGGCUUGGUCCUCUGGGUGGGUGGGCUCCCAGCAGACUUAUUUUCUUCUUUUCAAUUGCAGGUUUUGUUGUCUGGAAGGAGCCUUAAUGGUAACAAUUCAAUGCCCCAUCAGCCCAGGAUUCCCGCUGACAGAUGACUGUACUGCCUCUCCUUGAAAACUUAAAGUGACAGAAGAUUCCUUAAUUCCCAAUGUAAACUCAUUCCAUUCAUAAGGAAUUCCAACUGUUCUUCUUUAAAAAAGGCUUCCGACUGGACCAUGGUGAUGAAGACAAGGAAGCUACCUCGUGGCUCCCCAGGAAGUGGAAGUGGGGACUCUUACCCACCUCUGGUCUCCACAGAGGGGGGAGGGCUGCCUACACCGCAGACCUGGUGGCUGAUCGUAGACUAAGCCCUCUUCCAUAUAGCAGUCCUUCAGCUGAAUAUUUCUAGGUGUGCUGAGUGUUCUACUUUUCAAAUUAAACAUCUUGAUUUUC